rnacentral:rRNA from 1 species
UGGGGAAUAUUGCACAAUGGGCGAAAGCCUGAUGCAGCGACGCCGCGUGCGGGAUGAAGGCCUUCGGGUUGUAAACCGCUUUUGAUUGGGAGCAAGCGAGAGUGAGUGUACCUUUCGAAUAAGCACCGGCUAACUACGUGCCAGCAGCCGCGGUAACACGUAGGGUGCAAGCGUUAUCCGGAAUUAUUGGGCGUAAAGAGCUCGUAGGCGGUUUGUCGCGUCUGGUGUGAAAGUCCAUCGCUUAACGGUGGAUCUGCGCCGGGUACGGGCAGGCUAGAGUGCGACAGGGGAGACUGGAAUUCCCGGUGUAACGGUGGAAUGUGUAGAUAUCGGGAAGAACACCAAUGGCGAAGGCAGGUCUCUGGGUCGUCACUGACGCUGAGGAGCGAAAGCGUGGGGAGCGAACAGGAUUAGAUACCCUGGUAGUCCACGCCGUAAACGGUGGAUGCUGGAUGUGGGGC